ensembl:snoRNA
GCAGACUCACUCUGCACCUGACUGCAGCCCCAGGCAGGUGCUUUUUCUGUCUGCCAAAGAAAUGUUCCAGGGUGCUGUGGCUGUGCCUUGGCCUGUGGGACGAUGCAGCUUCCUGGAAACAGCAUG